AACGAACGCUGGCGGCAUGCCUAACACAUGCAAGUCGAACGAGACCUUCGGGUCUAGUGGCGCACGGGUGCGUAACGCGUGGGAACCUGCCCUUAGGUUCGGAAUAACUCCCCGAAAGGGGUGCUAAUACCGGAUAAUGUCUUCGGACCAAAGAUUUAUCGCCUUUGGAUGGGCCCGAGUUGGAUUAGCUAGUUGGUAGGGUAAAAGCCUACUAAGGCGACGAUCAAUAGCUGGUCUGAGAGGAUGAUCAGCCACACUGGGACUGAGACACGGCCCAGACUCCUACGGGAGGCAGCAGUGGGGAAUAUUGGACAAUGGGCGAAAGCCUGAUCCAGCACUGCCGCGUGAGUGAUGAAGGCCUUAGGGUUGUAAAGCUCUUUUACCCGGGAUGAUAAUGACAGUACCGGGAGAAUAAGCUCCGGCUAACUCCGUG
rnacentral:rRNA from 1 species